rnacentral:ncRNA from 1 species
GAAUCCUGCUCAGUAGGAGACAGACCUCAGGUUCAGAUUUCUGAUGUCAGUUGCCUGGCUGAGGAGCCGAUGGUGUGAAGCUGUCAUCUGUGGGAUUAUGACUGACCGCUUCUAUGUCAGAAUCCUUC